GGGGAUGCUCUACCCUCCCCGUGCCAUUGUGAGGUAGCAGCUGUGCACCUCCUGACUAGGCCCCACGUCAUGUCACAGUCAUUGUGGUUUCACAGAACUGAGAGGUGCAGUAGCACCUCACAGCUCUUGUGUGGUUUCCCUCUCACAUGGGACACAGGACAGAGCCAGCAUGCGGCAAGAGGGGAGUCUGGACAAAGGCUGGUCAUAAAUUACCAAGGAACAAGAAAUAACCUCAGGCUUAUCCAGUAGGUGAAGGGAUGGCAUCAUGGUUGCCAAAUGAGAGCAGCCUAAAACUGCUGAUUGGUGAUAACAGCAAGACAAGAGGCUUCAGAUCUGCAGUGACACCUGCAAGCAGUAUUAACAGAGUGAACAUGCUGGAGGGACCCAAAAGUCUUUUUGCAGUUCCCAGACACCUUAGAGAAGGGGAGAAGAUGGAGGGCUCUUCCCUAGUCAGGCUCAGCACCAGCCGGCACAGCUGCUUGUAGGUAUGGGGGCAGAGAGGUGCUCCCAUUCAAAAGGCCUUGACCUUCUGGGAUAUUACACUCCUGC
rnacentral:lncRNA from 1 species